GGGUUGUGAGGUUAAGCGACUAAGCGUACACGGUGGAUGCCCUGGCAGUCAGAGGCGAUGAAGGACGUGCUAAUCUGCGAUAAGCGUCGGUGAGGUGAUAUGAACCGUUAUAACCGGCG
rnacentral:rRNA from 1 species